GUAUCUGUUUGGUUUGGCGUUACAACGACCCAGAUGCGCGUUUCACACGGUCAAACGUGGUUUGACUAUGAAAUUUCAUGUUUGGCUUGGAUUCAAUCAAAAUUGAUUCUCUCUCAAACUCACGUUGAGCUGAAGCUAAGAUUCGGAGCUUCUGUGUUUCCUAGAAUCGAUUUUGAACUUUAGUUUUUGUUUCCCAAGGCUCAUAUUCCCAUAUUACCCUUUUUUAGUAUCUGCCAUGUUUGUUGUUCAAGAUGAGUGUCCAUGGUUGUUGUUUCAAAGAGGAAGAAGUCAAACAAGAGAACAAGGAGCGUAGAGUUUGGGUGAAAAAUCGUUGCUUGCAUGACGGCGAAUCUUGAUCUGUUUGACGGUGGUUUGUGCGAUGAGAGAUUUGUGUUUUCUUUUUUU
rnacentral:lncRNA from 1 species